GAUGAACGCUAGCGGCAGGCCUAACACAUGCAAGUCGAGGGGCAUCGCGGUGCAGCAAUGCACUGGCGGCGACCGGCGUACGGGUGCGUAACGCGUAUGCAACCUGCCCCGCACCGGGGGAUAGCCCGCCGAAAGGCGGAUUAAUACCCCAUGGUCCCGGGGGCCCGCAUGGGCAUCCGGGUAAAGCCUUGGCGGUGCGGGAUGGGCAUGCGUGCCAUUAGCUGGCUGGUGGGGUAACGGCCCACCAGGGCAACGAUGGCUAGGGGGUCUGAGAGGAUGGUCCCCCAACUGGUACUGAGACACGGACCAGACUCCUACGGGAGGCAGCAGUGAGGAAUAUUGGUCAAUGGGCGAAGCCUGAACCAGCCAUGCCGCGUGCGGGAUGAAGGCCCCCUAGGGUUGUAAACCGCUUUUCCCCGGGAAGAAUAACCCCGAUGAGUCGGGGAUGCCGGUACGGGGGAAUAAGGAUCGGCUAACUCCGUG
rnacentral:rRNA from 1 species